rnacentral:lncRNA from 1 species
AAUCAACUUCCAAGGCUGAAGAAGCUCCCUUUCGCUCUGGAGUACGGACGUCUUUUGCCUAGAGAUGGCCAAGGCACAGGAAAAGAGAAAUCCGGCUAAGAUGCAGGUCCUCCGCCCAGUUCUUCUGGAGCCAGUGAAGGGCAGGAAGUAUUUCCAGAACUGCUACCAGGGUCUCAUCAAAGCAGCGAUGCUCAGGCAGAAGCAUGCAAGACGAAGGUGACUUUUCUGAGAACAAAGUGAAAUUAAGUUUAUUGGGUGAGCAGCUUUUCAGACUGCAAGUCCUGACCGAGGAGGACAGUGUGGCGAAAUGGCUACCUCUUGCUUGUGGGGAGCUGAAAGUGUUACUAAAAUUCAAGUGUGGUGCAACCCAGAGCGCAGCUCCCAGAGGCAGCGAACAGACGCAGCAGUUCGCGCAGCAGUUCGCGCAGCAGUUCGCGCAGCAGUUCGCGCAGCAGUUCGCGCAGCAGUUCGCGCAGCAGUUCGCGCAGCAGUUCGCGCAGCAGUUCGCGCAGCAGUUCGCGCAGAAGGGUGCGCGAAGGGACGUGCGAAGGGACCUUCAUUUCUGUUCCCUGUGGUGUACACUUCCUCAAGUAUGGUCGUGACACGCCACACAGCGCGUUCCCCAGUGACUGUUGGAGUUGCUGCAUCAGAGGCUUGGACCCAGACCGACCCUCUGACAGUAGAUGCGGCUCUACAGGUCUCAGGCUGCAGGGAGUGCUUGGGGCCUCUCCGGGAGGCCUGGGCUGGCAGCCAGCUCUCCUGCAGGAGGUGUGCUGCUGUUGACGAGUUGUGUCGUCAGGUAAGGGAGUUACGGGAGGAGGUCAGUAGGCUGCGCAGCAUCCGAGAAGCAGAGCAAGAGAUAGACAGGGUAUUCUCGGAGACUGUACAGCUCCAGGAGUCCCAACCCCCUGCAGCAGUGGMGUUGCCAGAGGGCUCUGUGCCGUGUGAAACGGUACAUCAUAACAUCGUAGAAGAAGGCUGGAAACUGGUCACUGCUCGUGGGAGGAGAAAGGCUCCUACUCCUCCU